rnacentral:rRNA from 1 species
AGAGUUUGAUUCUGGCUCAGGAUGAACGCUAGCUACAGGCUUAACACAUGCAAGUCGAGGGGCAGCAUUUUAGUUUGCUUGCAAACUAAAGAUGGCGACCGGCGCACGGGUGAGUAACACGUAUCCAACCUGCCUCAUACUCGGGGAUAGCCUUUCGAAAGAAAGAUUAAUACCCGAUGGCAUAGUCCUUUCGCAUGAUUGGAUUAUUAAAGAAUUUCGGUAUGAGAUGGGGAUGCGUUCCAUUAGUUUGUUGGCGGGGUAACGGCCCACCGAGACUACGAUGGAUAGGGGUUCUGAGAGGAAGGUCCCCCACAUUGGAACUGAGACACGGUCCAA